rnacentral:lncRNA from 1 species
GCAGGAACCUGUGCUGUGAUGUUGUCAAACGCUGCUGCGAAAGGUGCCGGAGUCAAGCCUGCAGUGGCGAUGACGAUCCCUAAGCGUCGCAGACUUUGGGAUAUAAUUGCGGAGGUGGGCAGAGUGUUGUCAUGAUGCAUCUGCCUGCCUACUUAUCUUCAUUAAAUUCUUUGUAGUUUUCUUUAUAUCGAUCUGUCUUAUAUUUGUUCCCAGAGUAUAUCUUGCCCUA